rnacentral:rRNA from 1 species
GGCAGCAGCUAAGAAUAUUCCGCAAUGGUCGAAAGACUGACGGAGCGACGCCGCGUGAAUGAUGAAGGCCGUGAGGUUGUAAAGUUCUUUUCUGGAGGGAGAAUAAGUGCAUCAGGGAAUGGGUGCAUGAUGACGUGAAUCCAGGAAUAAGCCCCGGCUAACUACGUGCCAGCAGCCGCGGUAACACGUAGGGGGCAAGCGUUGUUCGGAAUUAUUGGGCGUAAAGGGCGCGCAGGCGGCCUGACAAGUCUGCUGUUAAAUGGUUGAGCUUAACUCAAUCAUGCGGUGGAAACUACAAGGCUAGAAUCAACGAGGGGAUGCCGGAAUUCCAGGUGUAGGGGUGAAAUCUGUAGAUAUCUGGAAGAACACCAAUGGCGAAGGCAGGCAUCUGGCGACUGAUUGACGCUGAGGCGCGAAGGUGCGGGGAGCAAACAGGUUUAGAUAUCCUGGUAGUCCGCACAGUAAACGAUGUGCACCAGGUGGCGGGUAGCAGUACUCGGUACCGAAGCAAACGCAUUAAGUGCACCGCCUGGGGAGUAUGCUCGCAAGGGUGAAACUCAAAGGAAUUGACGG